rnacentral:tRNA from 1 species
GACAAGAUAGCUCAAAGGUCAGAGCUCCUGUUUCAUAAGCCGGUGGUUGGGGGUUCAAAUCCCCCUCUUGUC